rnacentral:lncRNA from 1 species
GCACAUGCGCAGAAUCAUCGUGGUGCACGGCUCUCCCUUUGCUUCUUCGGUUGCAGUCCUCUUGCUUCUUGCGCGUGCGUGUAGCGCUUUUGCAAAGCCGCGGAGGUGAAGUGAACUUAGAGGCUGUGGGGCCGAGGGGUCCUCUUAUAGCUACCAGCCCACAGGCAUUUAGUCUACGUUGGAGGUAAACAAAUACGGGUCCAGCUUAGGAGAAAAGAAAAACGUCUUACAGCCAGUGUCUAAACUCCAAACAACGGAAUGUAUCAAUGAGACCUUGUAUAUGGAUACACGUGCAUUUAAAACCGCCCUGCCGGCUUGUAGAGCUCUUGCCGUUCUCCAGCGCUUUACAGGGGUUAUCGCACUUCAGCCUCGGAACAACUUUACCAGUGAUUCUACCAGAAAGGAAUGAAGAACAGAACCUUCAGGAAUUGAGUCACAAUGCAGACAAAUAUCAAAUGGGAGAUUGUUGCAAGGAAGAGAUUGAUGAUAGUAUUUUCUACUAGCCGUUGGGAAGAUAAAAGGAGACAGAAGAUUGAAGCCUUUGCCAGCCAUUCUUUCCCUUUUUGCUUCCAAACUCCUCAACUGGGAACCUUCAUAUGUGCAGUAUUUAUAUUGGAUCAUACUGGUGAUUAUAAAAGUUCCUAGGAGGCUAGAAGAGCCAACCAACAGAGAAGGGAAAGCAGUCUGUUCUGAACAUAGGGACAUAAGUUCAUUCAUGCCAAGUAUCUUUCCAGCAUGUUUCUCCCAUUUAGAAUAUCUAGCAUGUAAGGCCUUUCAAGAUUAAUAUAAGCCCAAUAUCAGCUCUUUCUCUUUGUAUUUCAUCUCUUUCUACUCUCCUAUUUGUAUUUUGUGUUCCUAUCAAAGUGUCAUAUCUGGGAGAUGACCUGCCUUAUCCUGUUCUAUAACAGUUUUGUUUGCUGCUGUGUCUUUAGAACAGUGCCUGGCACACAGUAAGCACUCAAUAAAUCUUUGAUGAAUGAA